AUCUCUUCCCUAAGUAGGCCUGAGUCAGUGAAGAGCUUUGGAGGGCGGGACUGAAUGAGGUUUAAUCUGAGGAUGCGAUUGCUGACCAUUUGCACUUUGGCAUGGCCCAUCCCCUAAUUUCUGACCAGAAGCCCUCCCUGUACCCUAAGCUCGUGCGUCACGACGCCGCCAGCUGAUCGGAGCCUGGAGCCGGUGUGUGCUGGGCGCCGAGAAGAGACAGCGCCGCCGGCCGUGGGGAGAGGACGCAGUGAUUUGCUCCCCUCUGCGCAGCAACCCCCACACCCAGCACCAGCGGCUACAGGAAGGUGUCUGUUCGAUUUGGUGGGAGGAGAUGUGCAGGGAGCUGUAUCUUAUCCUCCGCUUGUGAAAAACUCAAGGAUGUGGAGAAGAGGAGACUGUGGAACCUUGCCUUUCUGCAGCCGAGCUGAGUGGGACACUGGUAGAGAGGAGGGGAUAGACGCAUAGGCUGCAACAAAGGUCACUCUGUUCCUGGACACUGCCUCCGUCCUUUCUUCUUCUUGCUUCACUGGCCACAGCGUCUCCCUCCAGCCCUCACAUGUGCCUCUGCCAUCUUCACCCAUCAUGGAGCAGAGGUGAGGAAAGGGAGCCUGGGAAUGCGGAGACCAGUGAAGGACCAGCCCUGGAGAGCACAGGGUCCUACCUGGGCGUCCAACAGAGGAGCCCGUAAAGGCCAGGAGCACCCCGAAAGGAGGGAGGACAGCCAGCCUCCAUCGACGGCAAGCCUCCAGCCCUCUCCUCUGAUCACCAUUUCUCUCUAGGCUUUCUGCCUCCAAGAUGUGGCACCAUAGUGCAGUGCCCUGUGGCUUCACCGCCCUACUUCCAUCUCCACCCAGCCUGUAAUGUUUAUAUAAGCAGCCUCAAGGACCAAAAGCCAUCUGCGAAAGGACAUACACAGGAAAUUCAUAAAAGAAAGCGGAAUGGAUAAAACCAUGAAAAAAAUGUAUGCUUCAUUAGUAAUUAAAGAAAGGCAAAUAGAGCCGAAAGCAUUUUUCCCUUAGCAAACCAUAACAGAAAAAAAUAAGACCCAAUAUUGGCAAAGAGACUACUGAAAUGACAUUGCCAUACAUUGCGCGUGGGAGUAUACAUCGUCUACAUAGGUGCAGGCUUCCUGGAUGGCAGUUGGGUAAUAUGUGUCACGUAGCCUAAAAGCUCCACAUCCUUUGACCUAUGAAUUCUAUCUUUGGGAAUUUAUCCUAAGAAAAUAAUUAAGGAUUUAGUUAGUGAUAAGAUGUUCAUCCCAGCUUUGCAAUGGAGAAAAAUGGGAAGCAAUGGUUUGGUUGGGAAUUCAUUCCUUUUCUGCUGUAAUGAAAGUUUGCAGUAGGGGAUUUUGCUUAAGGAAAUGAUUGUAUCUCCAUCCAGAUGGUGGGGUACUGCACAGACAUUAAAAGUCAUGUAAAAGAACAUCUGACUGAAAGAAAAAUACUCCUUGAAUAUUAAAAGGUUGUAAAAAUAGUGCAUGUUAUGUGAUCUCAAUUUUGUCUUUUAAAGUAUGGGUGUAUACUUGUAUACGCAGAGCAGAUAAAAAAGACGGAAGGCAUGCUAAAAAAUGUUUAGUGGUUAUCUUUGGAUGGUGGAACAAAGUCACUGAAAUUUUCAUCUUUAGUUUUUCUGUAAUUUCCAAAUUUUCUACAUUAAUUGUGUAUUACUUUCCUAUAAUAAAUAUAAUUUAAGAGAUUGGUGUUAUUAUUUA
ensembl:lncRNA